rnacentral:rRNA from 1 species
GGGUUGUGAGGUUAAGCGACUAAGCGUACACGGUGGAUGCCCUGGCAGUCAGAGGCGAUGAAGGGCGUGCUAAUCUGCGAUAAGCGCCGGUAAGGUGAUAUGAACCGUUAUAACCGGCGAUACCCGAAUGGGGAAACCCAGUGUGAUUCGUCACACUAUCAUUAACUGAAUCCAUAGGUUAAUGAGGCGAACCGGGGGAACUGAAACAUCUAAGUACCCCGAGGAAAAGAAAUCAACCGAGAUUCCCCCAGUAGCGGCGAGCGAACGGGGAGGAGCCCAGAGCCUGAAUCAGCAUGUGUGUUAGUGGAAGCGUCUGGAAAGGCGCGCGAUACAGGGUGACAGCCCCGUACACAAAAGCGCAUGUGCUGUGAGCUCGAUGAGUAGGGCGGGACACGUGGUAUCCUGUCUGAAUAUGGGGGGACCAUCCUCCAAGGCUAAAUACUCCUGACUGACCGAUAGUGAACCAGUACCGUGAGGGAAAGGCGAAAAGAACCCCGGCGAGGGGAGUGAAAAAGAACCUGAAACCGUGUACGUACAAGCAGUGGGAGCACAGGUUUACCUGUGUGACUGCGUACCUUUUGUAUAAUGGGUCAGCGACUUAUAUUCUGUAGCAAGGUUAACCGUAUAGGGGAGCCGGAGGGAAACCGAGUCUUAACCGGGCGUUAAGUUGCAGGGUAUAGACCCGAAACCCGGUGAUCUAGCCAUGGGCAGGUUGAAGGUUGGGUAACACUAACUGGAGGACCGAACCGACUAAUGUUGAAAAAUUAGCGGAUGACCUGUGGCUGGGGGUGAAAGGCCAAUCAAACCGGGAGAUAGCUGGUUCUCCCCGAAAGCUAUUUAGGUAGCGCCUCGUGAAUUCAUCUCCGGGGGUAGAGCACUGUUUCGGCUAGGGGGCC